UAAGGGCCCUUGGGCAAUGUCCUUAAUCCCCUAUUGCUUCCGGUGGGUAGUGAGCGCCUUGUAUGACAGCACACUGACAUUGGGGAGAAUGUGCGGCAUUAUUGUGAAGAGCUUUGAGCGUCUGAUGCAGAUG